GAUGAACGCUGGCGGCGUGCCUAAUACAUGCAAGUCGAGCGAACAGACGAGGAGCUUGCUCCUCUGACGUUAGCGGCGGACGGGUGAGUAACACGUGGAUAACCUACCUAUAAGACUGGGAUAACUUCGGGAAACCGGGGCUAAUACCGGAUAAUAUAUUGAACCGCAUGGUUCAAUAGUGAAAGACGGUUUUGCUGUCACUUAUAGAUGGAUCCGCGCCGCAUUAGCUAGUUGGUAAGGUAACGGCUUACCAAGGCGACGAUGCGUAGCCGACCUGAGAGGGUGAUCGGCCACCCUGGAACUGAGACACGGUCCAGACUCCUACGGGAGGCAGCAGUAGGGAAUCUUCCGCCAUGGGCGAAAGCCUGACGGAGCAACGCCGCGUGAGUGAUGAAGGUCUUCGGAUCGUAAAACUCUGUUAUUAGGGAAGAACAAAUGUGUAAGUAACUAUGCACGUCUUGACGGUACCUAAUCAGAAAGCCACGGCUAACUACGUG
rnacentral:rRNA from 1 species